CAACCCUCAAGCCCAAGCUUGGUAUUGGAUGCCACCUAAUAGUUUGGUGCAUCUCAAAAUUAGUAGCGGUGCCUUGCAACUUCAAGCGUAGUAAAUUUCUCGCUUCUGGAGUCUAUUAGUGUCUGCUAGAACCCCCAAAUUAUCAAG
rnacentral:misc_RNA from 1 species